rnacentral:misc_RNA from 1 species
AGCAAUUUUAUGGUCCUUGAGGAGGUACCAUGAGGUACCAAAAAUUUAUUGUAAAAUUUGGUACCUCAUAGUAUCUAAGUACCAAAUUUACAAUAAAAAAAGUGGUACCUCAUGGUACCUCCUCGAGUACCGUAAAAUUGCUCAUUAAGU